GAUGAACGCUGGCGGCGUGCCUAAUACAUGCAAGUCGAACGAGGUGCUUUUGUAGCAAUACGAGAGUAUCCUAGUGGCGAACGGGUGAGUAACGCGUUGGUGACCUGCCCCAAAGUGUGGAAUAACAGUCCGAAAGGAUUGCUAAUACCGCAUGUGGUCCUCGGGUUUAGAAACCGGUGACUAAAGGAGUAAUCCGCUUUGGGAGGGGCCGGCGUCCCAUCAGCUAGUUGGUAGGGUAACGGCCUACCAAGGCGACGACGGGUAGGGGACCUGAGAGGGUGGCCCCCCACAAUGGAACUGAAACACGGUCCAUACACCUACGGGUGGCAGCAGUAGGGAAUAUUGCUCAAUGGGCGAAAGCCUGAAGCAGCAACGCCGCGUGUGCGAUGAAGGUCUUCGGAUCGUAAAGCACUUUUCUGCGAGAUGAGAAAGGACAGUAUCGUAGGAAUAAGUCUCGGCUAACUACGUGCCAGCAGCCGCGGUAAGAC
rnacentral:rRNA from 1 species